rnacentral:rRNA from 1 species
ACUCCUACGGGAGGCAGCAGUAGGAAUAUUGGACAAUGGGCGAAAGCCUGAUCCAGCAAUGCCGCGUGAGUGAUGAAGGUUUUAUGGAUCGUAAAGCUCUGUCGUAUAGGAAUAAAUGCCUGUGGUUAAUACCCGCAGGAGCUGAAGGUACUAUACAAGAAAGCACCGGCUAACUACGUGCCAGCAGCCGCGGUAAUACGUAGGGUGCUAGCGUUGUUCGGAAUUACUGGGCGUAAAGCGUAUGUAGGCGGCCAUUUAAGUCAGAUGUGAAAGCCCCGGGCUCAACCUGGGACGUGCAUCUGAUACUAUUUGGCUUGAGUACAGGAGAGGGUAGUGGAAUUUCAGGUGUAGUGGUGAAAUACGUAGAUAUCUGAAGGAACAUCGGUGGCGAAGGCGGCUGCCUGGCCUUGUACUGACGCUGAGAUACGAAAGCGUGGGGAGCAAACAGGAUUAGAUACCCUGGUAGGCU